GAUGAACGCUGGCGGCGUGCCUAAUACAUGCAAGUCGAGCGAACAGAUGAGGAGCUUGCUCCUCUGACGUUAGCGGCGGACGGGUGAGUAACACGUGUAUAACCUACCUAUAAGACUGGGAUAACUUCGGGAAACCGGAGCUAAUACCGGAUAAUAUAUUGAACCGCAGUGUUCAAUAGUGAAAGACGGUUUUGCUGUCACUUAUAGAUGGAUCCGCGCCGCAUUAGCUAGUUGGUAAGGUAACGGCUUACCAAGGCAACGAUGCGUAGCCGACCUGAGAGGGUGAUCGCCCACACUGGAACUGAGACACGGUCCAGACUACUACGGGAGGCAGCAGUAGGGAAUCUUACGCAAAGGGCGAAAGCAUGACGGAGCAACGCCGAGUGAGUGAUGGAGGUCUUCGGAUCGUAAAACUCUGUUAUUAGGGAAGAACAGAUGUGUAAGUAACUAUGCACGUAUUGACGGUACCUAAUCAGAAAGCCACGGCUAACUACGUG
rnacentral:rRNA from 1 species